rnacentral:rRNA from 1 species
UACGAAGGGGGCGAGCGUUUGUUCGGAAUUACUGGGCGUAAAGGGCGCGUAGGCGGCCGAUCAAGUCAGAUGUGAAAGUCCUGGGCUUAACCUGGGGACUGCAUUUGAUACUGAUUGGCUUGAAUGCAGGAGAGGAUAGCGGAAUUCCCAGUGUAGAGGUGAAAUUCGUAGAUAUUGGGAAGAACACCGGUGGCGAAGGCGGCUAUCUGGACUGUGAUUGACGCUGAGGCGCGAAAGCGUGGGGAGCAAACAGG